rnacentral:rRNA from 1 species
GUGAGUCAUCGAAUCUUUGAACGCACCUUGCACCCUUUGGUAUUCCGAAGGGUACGCCCGUUUGAGUGUCAUUGUAAUCUCACACCGACUGCUUUUGUUGUCGGAGGUGGACUUGGACCCUGUCGUGUCAUUAUGACGGGUCUGAAAUGCAUGAGUGUACCCUGCCUUUUGCAGCGUCUUCAGUGUGAUAAGCAUCUUCACUGAUAUUAAGCUCCUUCGGGACACGCAAGCAUUGUGGGUUCUAUGCUUCCAACUGUCUUUGGACAAGCUUUGACAAUUUGACCUCAAAUCGGGUGGGACUACCCGCUGAACUUAAGCAUAUCAAUAAGCGGAGG